rnacentral:rRNA from 1 species
UACGUAGGGACCGAGCGUUGUCCGGAUUCAUUGGGCGUAAAGAGCUCGUAGGCGGCCACUCAAGUCGAAUGUGAAACCUCGAGGCUUAACCUCGAGCCUGCAUUCGAUACUGGGCGGCUAGAGUCUGGUAGGGGGAUCUGGAAUUCCUGGUGUAGCGGUGGAAUGCGCAGAUAUCAGGAGGAACACCGGUGGCGAAGGCGGCUACCUGGACCGGUUCUGACGCUGAGGCGCGAAAGCGUGGGUAGCAAACAGG